UGUUGGUCGGGAAAAUGAUAAUUUCUCUACGUUGAUUACAGACCCUGCAGUGGGUCUGUAAUCAACCGUUUCUGCAGCGCGGCUCUGCUUUGAACCUUGAUCCAAUGACGCAGUGCUCUGAUCCACUGCUUUGUUAGUUCUUUGCUUCGCUCCUCUUCAGAAGCGGCAACUUCGUUUCUUAACCCCUCUCAAAGCCAUUAAAAUGUGUCAAUCCAAACCUUGCCUGAGACCAAUUUGCCAUGGGAAACCCUACCCGGAGCACAAAGGCUGCAGACAACACAGCUCUCAGGUUCAUAGCGGCACACACACCUCUCCACCACGAUAAUGUGAUGUUCCCGGAGAAGAACAAUAACUGCAGUGUAUCUGUUAAUUAGGAUUUCUCAGUGUGACAUAAACCUGAUGAUGAAAUUGUUUUUUAAUUGAAAACACAAUUGAAAAAAACAAAUAUACAGGAAAUUUUGGGAGUCCAUGCUGGUGCACAGGAUGGGAGGCUUUCAGAAGAAGACACCACUCCCAUCUUAAUAUAUGCUGGUUAAGUUGUCAAUGCUGCAUUAAUGUAUUAGAUGUACACCUGCAUAUGACAGCAUGUUUAAUACAUUCAGCAUACGCAGGCUAAAUUGUCCAUGUGUGACAGGACCUUAACAUAAAUAAAUGUGGAAGUUCAGCACUGUGAAUACUUUGUAGAUACACUAUAGAUAUUUUACAAUUAGAAAUGAUUUACUUUCAGAGAUUUAUAGAUAUGUGCUUCAGUGAGUUUUCUUAUGGUUGUUUUCUUGAUUCUUUGGCGAAACUGAAGAGUCUAAAGCUGCUUUGGAUGGUUUGUCUGGAGAGAAGGAGCCAGAGACAACAAGUGCUGAACUGGUCAGAUCUCUUUUUGAAAGGACCCAGAUAUGCUGCAGCUUUUAGUGAGAAAAGAAGAAAUGCUCCCUGAACAGCAGAGUGUUGAGGACUUUAAAGAAGAAGACAACACAUUCUGCACAAGGCAGGAGGGACAGCAGCUUCACCGGUGGGAGGAGGCUGAUGUCACAAAGUUCCCUUUCUCUGUGGUCCUAUUGAAGAGUGAAAAUCAUGAAGAAAAACCACUGUUAUCUGAGGUUCUUCAAA